GCACAUGCUAGGCCUGUACGAGCCAGCUUGAAGAACUCGUGUCACAACGAAAGUAUUGAGAAGUUCCAUUAACCACUCACUGAAGACUGAUGUGUAUGUCCGGCAAAAGAUCUUUCCGCGUAAGACAACUUACUGGGUCUGGUGUGCAUGAAGUGGCAGAACUCCUUUUGUUAGCAAAAUCACGAGAGACACGGUGGAUGGUUUGCAGUCUACCAUUCUCUUCCUCGUGCUGCUGGUUAUGAUACACAUUUUUCUCGAACUGAAUGUGCCUAGCAGGUCGUCGUGGUAAGCUGAAGCCAGGUUUCAGUGGUCCUGCUCGGUCAUGGCCUUGCUUCAUGGCAUUGUGCCAGUACAUCUAAUUCAAGUUUCAGUUGUAGUUUGACUGACAUUACAUGUGUGCGUAGUUUCAAUUUGCAAUUCAAGUGCAGGAGUGCUCUGCCCCUGAUCAUCCAUGUAAUUGAAAUUCUUCUGUAAGCAUUUGUUCUGACAGUAUAAUUGUGGACCAUAAAGUUGCUGUUAACUUGUGUGUAGCUGCACUGUUCUAUUUUUU
rnacentral:lncRNA from 7 species